rnacentral:misc_RNA from 1 species
GUGAUAUAAGCUUAUUGGGGAUGUUGACAUUUUUCUCAAAUUUCAAGCUUUUCUACAGCCUAAUAGAAGUUCUUGCAGGGUUGUGGGUCCAUACGUUUCACCCUUACGAGGUGAAUAGGUGAUCUCUCUUUCUCUGAGUUUGUUCAAUUGCAGAGAGAGAGAGGAUUUGGUGCUCAAUGUUUUUAUCUGUACUUCUGGCUCAUUGGAUAACUAUUUUUUUUUUUUUUUU